rnacentral:rRNA from 1 species
GUCGAGCGGAUGAGAGGAGCUUGCUCCUGGAUUCAGCGGCGGACGGGUGAGUAAUGCCUAGGAAUCUGCCUGGUAGUGGGGGACAACGUUUCGAAAGGAACGCUAAUACCGCAUACGUCCUACGGGAGAAAGCAGGGGACCUUCGGGCCUUGCGCUAUCAGAUGAGCCUAGGUCGGAUUAGCUAGUUGGUGAGGUAAUGGCUCACCAAGGCGACGAUCCGUAACUGGUCUGAGAGGAUGAUCAGUCACACUGGAACUGAGACACGGUCCAGACUCCUACGGGAGGCAGCAGUGGGGAAUAUUGGACAAUGGGCGAAAGCCUGAUCCAGCCAUGCCGCGUGUGUGAAGAAGGUCUUCGGAUUGUAAAGCACUUUAAGUUGGGAGGAAGGGUUGUAGAUUAAUACUCUGCAAUUUUGACGUUACCGACAGAAUAAGCACCGGCUAACUCUGUGCCAGCAGCCGCGGUAAUACAGAGGGUGCAAGCGUUAAUCGGAAUUACUGGGCGUAAAGCGCGCG